rnacentral:lncRNA from 1 species
AUUUUUUAGAUUUAUUUCAAUUGCACAGUGUUAUUCGAGUCAAGGUUCGAGUGCUGGAUAUAUGAUGUCAUAUUUUGGCACUCCUUUAUUUGAUAGAAGCCAAAUGCAGGUAUAAUUUAUCAUUUAUAAUUUAUUCUAUACUUAUCAAAUUAUGGUAACUAAUAUUAACUUAAUAUAUUUUGGUACUUCGGAAAGCAAUAUACGCCGACUACUAGUUUUUCCUUAACUUUUAUUCAAUGUUAUACUUGUUAAUAGUUUAAAAUUUAACCUUUUUUUAAUGAAUUUUGUAUUUGUAGGGUCAUCCAAAUCAAUUUUGGGGAAGUGGAUGUCAAGUACCAAAUACUGACCAGCUUAGUGUUUAUGGAACACAACAACAUCAUAUAUCCAACUUGAAUCAUUUGGAUCUGCUACAAGUAUUGUUACUACAUUGUAUAUUUAACUAUGUCAAUUUUAAGCACGUUGAUUUUUAAUAAUUUAAUACAUUUUCUUUUGUUCUUUUUGUAGGCUCAACAACAUGGGCAUCAAUUUAAGGAUCAAGAUGCUGACAAGUUCUGUUAAAAUUAAGUUCAACUUGAUGAAGAUGACAAACUUUAUGUUUUUCCUUUUUGUGUUGAACACAACAUGGUGCUUCAUUUGUAAUAGAUAUUAUGGUAUUAUUUGCCUAGGGAAAAGCUUAUAUAUUUUUAAGCACAUAUGGCGACUUACAACAAAGGUUUUUUUUU